rnacentral:rRNA from 1 species
AUUGAACGCUGGCGGAAUGCUUUACACAUGCAAGUCGAACGGCAGCACGGACUUCGGUCUGGUGGCGAGUGGCGAACGGGUGAGUAAUACAUCGGAACGUGCCCAGUCGUGGGGGAUAACGUAGCGAAAGCUACGCUAAUACCGCAUACGAUCUACGGAUGAAAGCGGGGGAUCGCAAGACCUCGCGCGAUUGGAGCGGCCGAUGGCAGAUUAGGUAGUUGGUGGGGUAAAGGCUCACCAAGCCGACGAUCUGUAGCUGGUCUGAGAGGACGACCAGCCACACGGGGACUGAGACACGGCCCAGACUCCUACGGGAGGCAGCAGUGGGGAAUUUUGGACAAUGGGCGCAAGCCUGAUCCAGCCAUUCCGCGUGCAGGAUGAAGGCCCUCGGGUUGUAAACUGCUUUUGUACGGAACGAAAAGGCUCUGGUUAAUACCCGGGGCUCAUGACGGUACCGUAAGAAUAAGCACCGGCUAACUACGUGCCAGCAGCCGCCGUAA